rnacentral:lncRNA from 1 species
GAAUAGAGGGCGAAUGUACCUCAGGUUAUCACUCGCAACGAAAAUAAACGAAUAGUCUCUGUUUUGAAGGCCUGACAAACAAGCAACUGUUUUUCCCAAAAAUUUGAGCGAGCACAUCUAGCAACUCUGGGUCUUUUAAAGGUCAAAGAAUUUAGUGUUGUAACCAAGAAUUAAGAUUUUCUGCUGGGUUUAUCUUGAGAUUUCUUCAAAUCUUCGAUUUUCAUCGAAAUUCUAAUCCGGGAAUAGCCCAAAUUGCUUUAGCGCUAUAAAUUUCAGAAGCAUGAAGAAUUUUGGCAAUCCUAUAUGAACCAGCACUCAAAACCAGCCACAAGACGUUGGCAUUUUGUGUAGUAUUCUGUGCUUGGUAUACUCAGUGUUCUUCAACUGGUGGUGCCUAAUUUUCGUGCCCUUGUUUGGGUAUUGUUUGGCAUGGUAUAGCCACUUCUUUGUUGAAAGGGAUGUUCUAGCAACUUUUGGGCAUCCCUUCUCGUCUCUACUAUGUGAUUGGAAGAUGUUUGGCCUGAUGCUUGGUCAAAUGGAUAGAGAAAUCAAGAGGCUUGGUAAGAGGCCUAUCUUGCAAGCCUACUGAUUUUCUUAUUUUAGUUUGUUUAGAAGAUAUAGUUUUAAUAGCAUGUGAAUCUUUUUCUAUUUUGUUUGAUCUUUCUAUAUUGCCUUUAUUGUUCCUUUUUUAUGGUCUUCACCAUCACUGCAAUCACACCACCACCAACACCAUCAUCGCAAACACAACCUACCAGACACAUAUCUGUGCACACCACCACACAUAUGUACACACUAUCACAUAAAGAUCCGCAUCACAUAUUUAGCCUUCAAUCGUCACCAAAGCCUUUGAACCCAUCCAUCACCAUCGAUGAAAAAAAUCUCCCCAACACCUACUCACCUUUGAUUGGAGGCUCAGCCCCUCAUGUAG